CCAAAACUUGUGAAGGGUCUCAAGCAUCUGGCUAAGUCAGACCCCAUGGUGCAGUGCAUCAUUGAGGAAUCUGGAGAACAUAUUGUUGCUGGAGCUGGAGAGCUGCAUUUGGAAAUCUGCUUGAAGGAUCUAGAGGAGGACCAUGUCUGCAAUCCAAUUAAGAAUCUGACCCAGUUGUUUCCUACCAUGAAACUGUAAAUGAAGAGUCAAACCAGCUGUGCCUGUCAAAGUCUCCUAACAAGCAUAACCGUGUGUAUAUAGAGGUCCGUCUAUUCACUGAUGGCCUUGCUGAGGAUAUUGACAAAGGAGACGUGAGUACCCGCCUAGAGUUGAAGAUUCAUGCCUUUUACUUGGCAGAGAAAUAUGAGUGGGAUGUUACAGAGGCUAGGAAGAUCUGGU